rfam:Echinostoma caproni strain Egypt genome assembly, scaffold: ECPE_scaffold0007321
GUCCUCGUAGCUGAGCUGGUAGAGCAUGCGCGUGCAAAGCGUAGGCGGCGUCCAUGCGUGGCUUCCAAUCCCACCGAGGCUA